rnacentral:rRNA from 1 species
UACGAAGGGGGCUAGCGUUGCUCGGAAUCACUGGGCGUAAAGCGCACGUAGGCGGUCUUUUAAGUCAGGGGUGAAAUCCUGGAGCUCAACUCCAGAACUGCCUUUGAUACUGGGAGACUUGAGUCCGGGAGAGGUGAGUGGAACUGCGAGUGUAGAGGUGAAAUUCGUAGAUAUUAGGAAGAACACCGGUGGCGAAGGCGGCCCACUGGCUCGAUACUGACGCUGAGGUGCGAAAGCGUGGGGAGCAAACAGG